rnacentral:misc_RNA from 1 species
CUGUCUCUUUGUUUUUCUUAUUGCUGCAGAACUUGUUAGUUUUAAAUAUUAAUGUUAGUUUGUUAAAAAUUAAAUGCUGUUUUGUAAAUUGUAUUUAUAUUUCAGAUGAUAUUGAUGAUUAAUUGAUAUUAUGCUAUUAUUUUCAACCAAUCUUGGAAUAUUUCCACUUCCUUUUGUUUUUAUAUUCAUCUCUUUAUUGCUGGUUAAUUAUUUAAGAACAAG